rnacentral:rRNA from 1 species
UACGGAGGGUGCAAGCGUUACUCGGAAUUACUGGGCGUAAAGCGUGCGCAGGCGGUUGUGUAAGACAGAUGUGAAAUCCCCGGGCUCAACCUGGGAACUGCAUUUGUGACUGCACAGCUGGAGUGCGGCAGAGGGGGAUGGAAUUCCGCGUGUAGCAGUGAAAUGCGUAGAUAUGCGGAGGAACACCGAUGGCGAAGGCAAUCCCCUGGGCCUGCACUGACGCUCAUGCACGAAAGCGUGGGGAGCAAACAGG